CUCGAACAACACAUCCAUUAAGCAUCCUUUGCGUGCACGCGAGGUCAGAGUGCAACGCGUGUUAAAGGGUGUAGCAGCCUUUGAUGUGUCUAGGUAAGGUUCCGUCCCAUUAUUGCCGACAGCGUCACAUAAGUAUCUGCCUCUGUCUCUCUUUCUCCAGACUCUUUUUGGUCGGCGAGGAUACCCACGCCAAGAAUCCGCUUCUCAGAACGCAAGCACAGCUGGAAUAGGAUUUAACUUCUCCUCCUGCCUCUCUGACCGCCCAUCCACCAACCAACAACGGACGAUAUCCAAUUAUACUGUUCUAUUGGCAGAGAAAUGUGUCCUUCUCAAGUUUAUCAGGAGGGAUGGGGAACAGCUGGAAUCUAAUUGUCAACUAUUGGCCAAUGAGAAGCGAGAGGAACACUGGCAAGGAGAGUGAUGGAAUGUGGGCAGAAAAGAGUAACUGUUGCCGUGGAGACCAAAGAAGGAU
rnacentral:lncRNA from 1 species